UCACCGUCCCCAGCUGACAUAACCCUAUGGGUCUUAGCCUCAUGGCCUUAAAAACCUGUAAUAGCCACCUAGUUUCCCCAGGCUUUAAGCCCCUGAGUUUACCUCCCUUGGUUUUGUCGCCCGGUACUAUCACCACCCUGCCCUUUUCCCAUAGCGUUACCCUCAACUCCAUGUCCCAGGUCUAGGCCCAGCUCCAGCCCUAGCUUUACCCCCAACUCCAUAUCCCAGCUCCCCCCACAUCCCCAGCUUUAUCCCCAACCCCAUGGCCCAGCCCCAACCCCGGUCCUAGCUUUACCCAGCCUUUUCAAUUGCUUGGCUUCCUGAUCAGUCCUAACUCCAUGAUUUGCUAACUUAGAUUUACCCACCUGCCUUAUGAACCUCCUGGCCUUAGUCAUCCAGUAUGAAUCUCCUGGCCUUAUGCAUCUAGCAUACUCACCUGCCCUUACUGUACUGGAUGUCCUGUCCUUACCAACCCGAAUCACCCCACUCAUCUUACCUCUCAGCCUUACCCAGUUGGCCUUAGCAGUUAAUCUCAAUGCUCUAUUCUCCCUUGCUCAGUCAUCCCAGCCCCACUGGACUUAAGCUGGUGUCACAUCCUGUGUCCCAAUCCCUGGUUUUCCUUUCCUGGCCUUCCCACAUGACCUUGUUUACCUAUUCAUACCCACUAGGCCUUCUCCUGCCUCAGCCUCCCGAGUAGCUGGGAUUACAGUCAUGCGCCACCACGUCUGGCUAGUUUUAUAUUUUUUGUAUUGACAGGGUUUCUCCAUGUUGGCCAGGCUGGUCUCAAACUUCCAAUCUCAGGUUGGGAUGCCAAGGGGCAGAUAAAGUGCUGGGAUUACAGGUGGGAGCCACCACACCCUGCCUAAACACCUGGUUUUAACAACCUGACUGCACUCAGCAGAACUUCCUAAGCUCAUUGGCUUCAUCGCAUCAUCUUAUCCUCAUGGUAUUCCGAACCUGCCAUUAUCUUUCUGGCUUUAUUAACCCCCUGGCCAUACUCACUGAGUCUUAAUUUUAUGGCCUAAUAGUUCUGCCCUUACCCACCUGGCCAUGACUUCUUGCUCACCAUCAUCCACCUGUUCUUACCCACCUGGCUUCAAUUUGCUGGCUUUGAUCUCUGUUCAAGACCCAUGUGAUCUUGCCCAUGAGGUCUUACUCAAUUGCCAUUACUCCAGGGCCUUGCCCAUCUUAUUUUAUGGUCCUGGCCAUGCCCCAUUAGCCUUACCCACCUGGCCUAACCCUGUGGAUCUUAACCCCAUGGCCCUAAAAACCUCGAUUAGCCACCUAGUGUUCCCGCCUAGUCUCACCAACCAUACAUGACCCACAUGGCCUCCACACUUGGUUUACACAAGUGUCUAUAAACUUCUGGUUUUAUCUAUCAGGUCUAAACCACUGAAUUUACCUCCCUAGGCUUCCUUCCCUGGACUUAACUCCCUGACCUUAUUCCCCAGAUUUACCACUGCUUCCCCACCCCACCCCUAGACUUAGACACCUCCCAUUAGCCACCUGGACUUACCCACCUGGCCUUAACCUCAUGGCCUUACUUACCUAGAUGACCAAUAUAGCUUUCCAACCUGGUAUUCCCACCUGUCCUUAAGCUUUUGUUAUAACUCACAUGGCCUUACCCAUCAUGCCUUAGCCACCGGCCUUCAUGUCUGGCCAUAACAUCCUAGUCUUCCCUACCUGGGUUCAUCCCCCCAAAACUACAUUGCUGUAAUGUGUUGUGCUGCCGCCCUGGCCAUCCCCCAUAGCUCUUAACCCAUAGUGCUUACCAUUCUUGGUGUAGGCCUCUGGCUUUCCCCAUCUUAACCCACCCAGCAGCCUUACUUUCCUGGCUUUAACUAACUGUAACUAACUGGCUUUACUCGCCUACCGAGACCUUGGCCUUAGCUCCUUUGCCUUCUCUUCUUACUGUUCCCCCACCUGGCCCAUCUCCAGACCUUUAUUGCCUGGGCUUGGAAGCCCAGCAUUAAUCUCAUGGCUUAUAUACUCUUGGCCUCAGCCCCCUGACUUUAUGCACCUGACCCUAACCUAUUGUUCUUACCAGGUGUGAAUUGCCUAGUGUUACUCAGCUGGUCUCCACCUCAUGGCCUUACCCUCCUUGGCUACCAAUCUGGCUAAAUCUCUUUGUCCUUGUCCCCUUUCCCUACACCCCUGGCUUCCCACUAGCCUUACCUCUGGGCUCAACCACCUGGUCUGAACUAACAUCCUGGCAUUACUCACCUGGUCAUAAUCUUCUGGCCUUACCCAGUUGGCAUUAAUUUUCUACCCUUAUCCCCAUGGGCUCCCGGGCACAGCAGAGCCUGCGUUUCUGUGACUUGCCUGAGGCCAGCAAGAUGAAGACUUCCCGGCAGCCUCCUGGACCUGUUCUCUGCAAGGUCAGGUUUUGAAACUUCUGAGUGUUCAUGCAAGUGCCCUGUGUACUUGCCUGGCCUGGUGUGCUGGCUCGCCUUUGGUCUGUAUAGCCAGUGACCACAUGGUCAACAUGAAGCCACCUUAAGCUGCCUCUCAUUAGGUCUCAUGGGGCAGGGGGCAGUACCUGCAGCACUGAGAGGCUCAGAAAAGGGCAGUUUAACUGGUUUCACCCUUGUGGAGUCCUCAUGGAGGUCUUUCUAGCCCAAACUGCUCCCCUCAUAUUCUAUAGGCAUGUGGAGUUUUUUAAAGAAGUCCAGAAAACUGCCCAGUGGCAUUGUAGGUCUUUGAGUCUUGGUCACCUGACUUGUUAGUUGCCCUCACACUUGAUGACCCCUAACGUUUAUCUGGGGUCUCAUCGUGGGCCAGCAUUUUGUUGAACAACCUCAAUUUGUUCUCUGGAAGAGAGUGUAUUUGAGUUGUUUUUACUUUUAUACUCUGUUAUAAAGUCAAUAAACCCAUUCCUGUGUCCCAUCCCACUGCCUGAGCCAAGCGGCCUUCUACAAUUGACGUGCAGUGUUCAAGUGCUGCACUCCAGUGUGCUGUUGGCUUGAAGCUGCCACCAGGUACUCCCAGAGCCUGCGCCUCUGAGGCUUCCUCUUGGGUUGUGGAUCCGUGGAAGAGCCUUGUCCCUGGGACUGGACCUUUCCCUUGAAUGGGGAGAGAAUGGAAUGUCUCUACUGGCUUCCUGGAGAAACAGGAUGAUGAUGACCGUUCUGGUAAGAUUUCUUCUUGAGAUGUUGACCUCGGCAUGUAUACUCAGUGUGAUAACUAAAUGUACCUUUCCGGUAACAUUCUAUUGUGAGUAUUUUCCUCUGUCAUAAAAGCCUCCUGAUUUUUAAUAAUUGCAUGAAUUCUGUAAGUCGUAACUGCUUCUUAGAUGGGUAUGGCGUAUUGGUCACUGGAAGUAACCACAGCUUCAGCAUUGCUCCAGAGACAUAGGUGUCCUCCUGGUUGUUACUGGAGUCCUCUGCCUGACAGUGACCCUUUUGCCUUCCUAUGAUGUUAUGUUGUAGAAUCCUCAAACCAAGAUAAAUUUUGUAAAAAUGUUUGCUUUAUAAUUCUUGUAGAUGUAGUAUUUAUUACUGUUGUUUUCUGCAGGUUCGUCUAAUGGAAGGCAAUAAAGAAGUCCCUUUUCAUUUUUUCAGAUAAGGUCUUGCCCUAUUAUCCAGGCUGGGGUAACCACAAUCUUGGUUACCUGCAUCCUCGCUUGCUCACCUGCACUCAAGUAAUCCUCCCAUCUCAGCCUUCCCAAGUAGCUGGGAUCAUAGGUAUGUGCCGCCCUGCCUGCCUAAUUUUUUGUAUUUUUGGUAGAGACAGAGUUUCACCAUGUUGCCCAGGCUGGUCUCGAACUCCUGAAUUGAAGCCAUCCACCUGCCUCCCAAAGUCAUAGGACUACAGGCAUGAGCCUCUGUGCCCCACCGAUAAGUAAGUCUUUACAGAGGAAACUCUUAGUCCAGGAAAGGGUAAGUGAGCCUGUUUUCGAACUAUGUCUAUUGAUAUAUGUAUUAAGUUUGAUGUAUUUAUGGAUUUGAUGAUGUUGUAGCCUCUUGUUCACUAUGGAAACUCCCACUGGAGGAGUUUUCUUGCUCUGGGAACCCUCACGGGUGAUGUUGGGGCCUGAUAACAUUGAGGAGACACCUGCAGAUGCACACCAGUAGCUGUGUUUAUUCUCCUCUCUAAGUUAUGUAUACUACUUGCAAAAGUUCAGAAAAUCAGGAGAAAGGUACGGAAGAAAAGAUCACUUAUUUUUCUUUCCCUGAAUGAUAGAUAAUAAAUAGCUCACCAAUACUGUGGACUCUUCCAGGAGUAUCCUGUGUGGCCAGUGACAGCAAUGCCAUUUAAAAUGAAAGAAGGAUCCAACAUGGGGCCUUGGUGCACAGCUCAUUCAAAGUGGGUGUCGUCUUUGUCAAUGAAUCUCCUCUGUAGCAGAUAUUAAGGAGUUGACAUUUUUCUUUUCCUUGAGAAAUCUGAGGAGGAAGUGAGCUGGAGAGGUUAAAGUCGCAGCUCAUCAAUCAUCCUGUAAUUUGCAGAAAUUUCAUUUUAGACCUGAAAGAGCCACUGCCAUGACCAUGUUUGUGUGUGUCUGUGCUUUUGCUUGCUUCCUCAGGUAAACUCUCAGAACUCCUGGAUGGAAAGAACACACACGUUGGAAGCACGGACAUGCAGCACCUCGCUGAUUGUAAGACUGCACUGGUAUCAAGCUGUGAUGAUUUGCACAAGAAAACUAUAGUGCACUCUGUUACAAUACUGGUAAAAGAUCAGCCUGCGGACAAUCCUACCUUUCCCAAGAGGAAUUGGCUUGCAGAAGGCAAGGUGAAAUCAGUGUGAAUGUUUUCAGUCCAAUGGCCUUGAAAGUGUUACGGUUUUAAGUUCUGUUUAAGCAAUAUGAUGUCUGAUUUUUCUAGUUAUUUGUGUACAUAACAUCUUUUUACUAUGAACAGUAGCCCCUCCUCAGUGGUUUCUCAACUUUGGGGAGCUUCAAAAGUUAUGACCAGGUCCCCCAUCUGGUCUUCUGCCAGUCUCUGCCCCUGCACAUCCAUUCUUUUCUGCUUGGCACUCGUGUGGAAAUCGAAGCUUGGUAUGUACCUCCAGCCACCACUGUCCACAAGAAAUCAGGUGCACAGGCUUUCUUGGGCCCUUUCCCGUGUCCUGGUCAGAUGUCUUCCCUCAGGUAGAGAAGAGAGGCUUCGAGGACUUGACCGAAUGACCUGAGCAAGGUCUUGGCCUUCGAGGAGCUUCCAGUGCCUUUCAGGUGUCAGGAGCUGCAGGCCCAGCAGAAUGCAGUCCACACUGCAUUCCGCUGGGCCUGCAAAGCGGUCAGAGAGAUCUUGCAGUACAGAUCUCUCUGGCCCCCUUUUUUCCCCUGGACUUGAAUCUCCAGGCUGUGGGCAUUCCUCCCUGUGUGCUCCCUUCAUGGGGGAGGUGGGGGUGGUGUGGUGGAUCCUGUUUUUCUGCUGAGGCUGAUCCUUGAUCCUUCACUGCUUGUUCUCCAAGGAUAGAGAUAACAGUUAAAGAGUCCUCUUGAGAUGAAGAAAUUUCAAACAACAUCUUGUAUUCAAGUCAUGAAGGUCAAAUAAUAACGAAAAAGGUCACCACUGUGUUUCCUUGGAGAUGACGGUCUCAUCUGGUGUUGAUUCUGAAUUCCACCAUUAUCUAGAUCUACCCACUGUUUCUGUAGCCUCAGUUGUGGAUCACGGCUCUUCUGCUUCCACCUGAGCAUUUCAUCCGGACAGGCACCAGGAUCCCUGCCCGAGCACUCCAUCUCAUCUGACUUCCGGCUGAGAAGCUGAUAUGUUAAACUCACCUUAAAACAGUACUUCCUAAGCAGCACGCAGCCAACAGUUUAAGUACACAGGACCUGGCCAUCAUCAGCAUAUGCCCUGGGUGCCCUGGAUUGAGACGGGGUUUCAUCAUGUUGGUUAGGCUGGUCUCAAACUUCAGAUCUCGUGAUCUGCCCGCCCUGGCCUCCCGAAGUGCUGGGAUUACUGGAGUGAGCCACUGUGCCCAACUAUUAAGUCAGAUCCUAAAGGUGAAACAGAAGUUCUCCAGGUCAAAAGGGUGGGGAAAGCAUAGGGGCCAGAGCCAGACUGGAGCCCAGGGACAGGGCUGGCUUCAAGUGGGGACUCACAGGUGUUGCUUUCUGUCCUUUUUUCUCUUCCACAAGGUCCCCUCAGUGUUGCUUUCUGGCCAUCAGGACUGAUGCAUUCAUAAUUCCUCCGGAGAAUUCCAGGAAGAGUCCAGUUGCUGAAAAGCCGGCAUGACAUCACCAGGCUGCCUUCAUCUGAGAGCGGUGACUGUGCUGAGAAGACGCCAGAAUUGCCUCCUUCGUCCCUUCUCCAGGGCCUCUAGGAAACAGAGUCCUCUUCUGCUGGCAUCUUCAGCUGGAUGUAGAGCACCUUUUCCUAGAUAUACCUGCUAGCAUUUAUGUCCUCUUUGGAGAUUCAGAGAUUUUGUUCAUUUUCAAAACAGAUUAUUAAAAUUUUUCCUCUAAAGUUGUUUGAGCUUCUUAUAUAUUCUGGUUAUUAAUCUGUUGUCAGAUAGAUAGUUUGCCCUUUCUGGGUCCUAGACCUGGUUCUUGUAAGUUUUUGGCACAUUACAGCCUCCCAGAAGCAUGUUUAGUUUGGUGACUGUUGUGUGUCUUCCUUCUGCUGCUCCUA